rnacentral:rRNA from 1 species
UCUUUUGGCCAUGCCAUCCUGAACAAGCCCGAUCCUGUCUGAUCUCGGAAGCUAAGCAGGGUCAGGCCUGGUUAGUACUUGGAUGAGAGACCACCCAGGAAGACCAGGUGCUGUAGGUG